AUGCACUCCCAGAACCACUGGGGCGGGGCGUUCGACAUCGACGGCGCGGAGGACGACCAGAGCCGCAACAUGGACAUCGACCGCGGCGCGCUGCAGCACCAGCACCAGCUGGACGAGACGCAGCAGAGCUGGCUGCUCGGCCCGCCGGAGGCCAAGAAGAAGGACCGCUACGUCGACCUCGGCUGCGUCGUCGUCAAGCGCAAGCUCCUCUGGUGGAUGCUCUGGGCCGUCCUCGGCGCCUUCGUCCUCAUCGGCCUCCCCAUCAUCAUCGCCAAGAACAUCCCCAAGAAGAAGCCCCACGCCCCGCCCCCCGACAAGUACACCGACGCCCUCCACAAGGCCCUCCUCUUCUUCAACGCCCAGAAAUCCGGCAAGCUUCCUAAGAACAACGGCAUCCCGUGGCGCGGGAACUCGGGCAUGAAGGACGGCGCGGACCUGCCGGACGUGAAGGGCGGGCUCGUCGGCGGGUACUACGACGCCGGCGACAACAUCAAGUUCCACUUCCCGAUGGCCUUCUCCAUGACGCUGCUGAGCUGGUCGGUGGUGGAGUACGCCGACAGGUACAAGGCGAUCGGGGAGUACGACCACGUGAGGGAGCUCAUCAAGUGGGGAACCGACUACCUGCUGCUCACCUUCAACUCCUCCGCCUCCACCAUCAACAAGCUCUACAGUCAGGUGGGUACCGCCAAGAUCAACGGCAGCACGCCGGACGACCACUUCUGCUGGAACCGGCCGGAGGACAUGGCGUACCCGCGGCCGGUGCAGCAGGCGAGCGCGGCCCCGGACCUCGGCGGCGAGGUGGCGGCGGCGCUGGCCUCGGCCUCCAUCGUGUUCCGCGACAACGCCGCCUACUCCAAGAAGCUGGUGAAGGGGGCGGCGACGGUGUACAAGUUCGCGCGCGCCAACGGGAAGCGCACCCCCUACUCCCGGGGCAACCCGGCCAUCGAGUACUUCUACAACUCCACCAGCUACUGGGACGAGUUCAUGUGGAGCGCCUCCUGGAUGUACUACGCCACGGGCAACAACAGCUACAUCAGCUUCGCCACCGACCCCCGGCUGCCCAAGAACGCCAAGGCCUUCUUCAACAUCCUCGACUUCUCCGUCUUCAGCUGGGACAACAAGCUCCCCGGCGCCACGCUGCUGCUGUCGCGGCUGCGCAUGUUCCUCAACCCCGGCUACCCCUACGAGGAGUCGCUCAUGGGAUACCACAACGUCACCAGCAUGAACAUGUGCAUGUACUUUCCCAAGUUCAAUGCGUUUAACUUCACCAAGGGCGGGCUCGCGCAGUUCAACCACGGCCAGGGCCAGGCGCUGCAGUACGCCGUCGCCAACUCCUUCCUCGCCGCGCUCUACGCCGACUACAUGGAGUCCGUCAACGUCCCCGGCUGGUACUGCGGCCCCAACUUCAUGACCGUCGACGACCUCCGCUCCUUCGCCAAAUCCCAGCUGAACUACAUUCUUGGGGACAACCCGAUGAAGAUGAGCUACGUGGUGGGGUACGGCAAGAAGUACCCGAAGCGGCUGCACCACCGCGGGGCGUCCACGCCCAAGAACGGGAUCAAGUACUCGUGCACCGGCGGGAACAAGUGGCGCGACUCCAAGAAGGCCGACCCUCACGUGCUCGUAGGCGCCAUGGUCGGCGGGCCGGACAAGAACGACAAGUUCAAGGACGCGCGGAUCAGCUACGCGCAGAACGAGCCCACGCUGGUCGGCAACGCCGGGCUCGUCGCCGCGCUCGUCGCCAUCACCAACAGCGGACGUGGCACGGGCGUCGGCGCCGUCGACAAGAACACCAUGUUCUCCGCCGUGCCGCCCAUGUUCCCCGCCGCCCCGCCGCCGCCGGCCACGUGGAAGCCGUGA
rnacentral:rRNA from 1 species